UACAGAGGUCCCGAGCGUUGUUCGGAUUCACUGGGCGUAAAGGGUGCGUAGGUGGCAGUGUUAAGUUUGAUGUGAAGACUCAGGGCUUAACCCUGAAAUGGCAUUGAAUACUAGCGUGCUGGAAGGUUUGGAGGGGGGGGACUGGAAUUCUCGGUGUAGCAGUGAAAUGCGUAGAUAUCGAGAGGAACACCAGUGGCGAAGGCGAGUCCCUGGACAACACCUGACACUGAGGCACGAAAGCCGGGGAGCAAACAGG
rnacentral:rRNA from 1 species